GAGUUUNGAUCCUGGCUCAGGACGAACGCUGGCGGCGUGCUUAACACAUGCAAGUCGAACGAUGAAGCCUUUCGGGGUGGAUUAGUGGCGAACGGGUGAGUAACACGUGGGCAAUCUGCCCUUCACUCUGGGACAAGCCCUGGAAACGGGGUCUAAUACCGGAUAACACUCUGUCCCGCAUGGGACGGGGUUAAAAGCUCCGGCGGUGAAGGAUGAGCCCGCGGCCUAUCAGCUUGUUGGUGGGGUAAUGGCCUACCAAGGCGACGACGGGUAGCCGGCCUGAGAGGGCGACCGGCCACACUGGGACUGAGACACGGCCCAGACUCCUACGGGAGGCAGCAGUGGGGAAUAUUGCACAAUGGGCGAAAGCCUGAUGCAGCGACGCCGCGUGAGGGAUGACGGCCUUCGGGUUGUAAACCUCUUUCAGCAGGGAAGAAGCGAAAGUGACGGUACCUGCAGAAGAAGCGCCGGCUAACUACGUGCCAGCAGCCGCGGUAAUACGUAGGGCGCAAGCGUUGUCCGGAAUUAUUGGGCGUAAAGAGCUCGUAGGCGGCUUGUCACGUCGGAUGUGAAAGCCCGGGGCUUAACCCCGGGUCUGCAUUCGAUACGGGCUAGCUAGAGUGUGGUAGGGGAGAUCGGAAUUCCUGGUGUAGCGGUGAAAUGCGCAGAUAUCAGGAGGAACACCGGUGGCGAAGGCGGAUNUCUGGGCCAUUA
rnacentral:rRNA from 1 species